ACAGCAAACAUGGUAUAGCAGGGAAAAGACCGAAUUCUCUCCCGAAGAGGAGGGAGAGAGAUGAGUAGUUUUGGGGGACGCGAGCAGUGGAGAUCGUGGGGAGGAACAACUCUCCUUGGCUUUUAUGGAAGAAGAUAAAGCUGAUCACCACCCGCGGGGACAAUGCCAAGAGGCGCCUCCGCCGUGUUCGGCAGAAUGAGGCAGUUUUGAGGGCUUGUGCGGAACCACCACCACCGAAAACUUCGUUAAACAAUGCUCCAGCAUCUUGAAUUGAACGGAAGGGGAUUGAUAGUUAGCAAACCAAAGGUGCUGGAUUACUUGAACAAUGGUCUCCUGGGUUUUUUUGAAUUCCUCAUCUCCUGCACAAAUGAAAUAGAUAUGUGGAAAAUGCACAAACCCCUACAGAAGUAUCACAUACCUCAUGCUGAGUUAUCAGGGACUCAGCUGGCUGACGCCACUGAUCGUCUGGCAACAACCUUUCCAACAAAUGACAUAUGACCUCACCUACAUUGUAGAAUGCAUUAUUCAAAGUACUUGCACUGACAUUUCUGUUGCAACAAUUCUGUAGCAAGUAAUUGACAUGUAUUUUCCUUUGCAUUUGGCUCUGUAUUUUCCCCCCCUUAUAUAGAUGAAAAAACAUACUGUACUUAGUUGCUUUGCCUUCUGUGUUUGUGAAUAGGAUCAGGAAAAUAUAUCCGAUACUUCAUUUGCAUUAAUCUCCAAGCUUCAUUUUCCCUAAAAGAUUCAAACAUUCAUGUUUGUAAUGAUCCAGGGAUGAACAGUCUUUGAUAUAUCGGUUAGAAUA